AUUGGAACCAAACCGAAAAGUGCGCCUUAUUUGUCCGCUCAGAGAACAAGUGCAAACAGUACGUCUGGAGAAGAAAUGUUGAAAACGCAACUAUAUGUGACGCUGUGUUUGAUAAACUAUGUGGCUCAAGUUACCCAGUUUUCCUAACAAGCUGCAUACGAAAAGUGGAUAUUUGUGUCGGCCCUAGCAAGUGCUGAACUUCGCGCAUCAAAUGAAAUAAAACGAGUUGGGUACAUA